rnacentral:lncRNA from 1 species
AAACAGAAAAGUAACAAAAGAAAAAAGAUUAAGAAACAAGAAACAACAAAGUCUCAGACAUGGAAUUGUUUUCUAAGAUGUUCAUAAAAUGCAAGGAUAUUAUUGCUCAAUUUCCAGAGGAGCAACGACCGCAACUGACAGGGAAAGGAACACCACCACCACGCAGAGGGAAAGGAACACCCCCG